GUGGGGAAUAUUGGACAAUGGGCGAAAGCCUGAUCCAGCCAUGCCGCGUGUGUGAAGAAGGUCUUCGGAUUGCAAAGCACUUUAAGUUGGGAGGAAGGGCAGUUAGUUAAUACCUUGCUGUUUUGACGUUACCGACAGAAUAAGCACCGGCUAACUUCGUGCCAGCAGCCGCGGUAAUACGAAGGGUGCAAGCGUUAAUCGGAAUUACUGGGCGUAAAGCGCGCGUAGGUGGUUUUGUAAGUUGGAGGUGAAAUCCCCGGGCUCAACCUGUGAACUGCCUCCAAAACUGCAUGACUAGAGUACGGUAGAGGGUAGUGGAAUUUCCUGUGUAGCGGUGAAAUGCGUAGAUAUAGGAAGGAACACCAGUGGCGAAGGCGACUACCUGGACUGAUACUGACACUGAGGUGCGAAAGCGUGGGGAGCAAACAGGAUUAGAUACCCCUGUAGUCC
rnacentral:rRNA from 1 species